rnacentral:rRNA from 1 species
UAAUACAGAGGUCCCAAGCGUUGUUCGGAUUCACUGGGCGUAAAGGGUGCGUAGGUGGCGGGGUAAGUCUGAUGUGAAAUCUCCGAGCUUAACUCGGAAACUGCAUCGGAUACUGCUUUGCUCGAGGGUUGGAGGGGGGACUGGAAUACUUGGUGUAGCAGUGAAAUGCGUAGAUAUCAAGUGGAACACCAGUGGCGAAGGCGAGUCCCUGGACAACUCCUGACACUGAGGCACGAAAGCUAGGGGAGCAAACAGGAUUAGAUACCCUGGUAGUCCUAGCUGUAAACGGUGCACGUUUGCUGUAAGUGGAAUCGACCCCACUUGUGGCGUAGCCAACGCGAUAAACGUGCCGCCUGGGAAGUACGGUCGCAAGAUUA